AGUCGAGCGGAUGAAGAGAGCUUGCUCUCUGAUUCAGCGGCGGACGGGUGAGUAAUGCCUAGGAAUCUGCCUGGUAGUGGGGGACAACGUCUCGAAAGGGACGCUAAUACCGCAUACGUCCUACGGGAGAAAGCAGGGGACCUUCGGGCCUUGCGCUAUCAGAUGAGCCUAGGUCGGAUUAGCUAGUUGGUGAGGUAAUGGCUCAGCAAGGCGACGAUCCGUAACUGGUCUGAGAGGAUGAUCAGUCACACUGGAACUGAGACACGGUCCAGACUCCUACGGGAGGCAGCAGUGGGGAAUAUUGGACAAUGGGCGAGAGCCUGAUCCAGCCAUGCCGCGUGUGUGAAGAAGGUCUUCGGAUUGUAAAGCACUUUAAGUUGGGAGGAAGGGCAUUAACCUAAUACGUUGAUGUUUUGACGUUACCGACAGAAUAAGCACCGGCUAACUCUGUGCCAGCAGCCGCGGUAAUACAGAGGGUGCAAGCGUUAAUCGGAAUUACUGGGCGUAAAGCGCGCGUAGGUGGUUUGUUAAGUUGAAUGUGAAAUCCCCGGGCUCAACCUGGGAACUGCAUCCGAAACUGGCAAGCUAGAGUAGGGCAGAGGGUGGUGGAAUUUCCUGUGUAGCGGUGACAUGCGUAGAUAUAGGAAGGAACACCAGUGGCGAAGGCGACCACCUGGGCUCGUACUGACACUGAGGUGCGAGAGCGUGGGGAGCAAACAGGAUUAGAUACCC
rnacentral:rRNA from 1 species